rnacentral:rRNA from 1 species
GACGAACGCUGGCGGCGUGCUUAACACAUGCAAGUCGAACGGAGAGGCCCCUUUGGGGGUCCUCGAGUGGCGAACGGGUGAGUAACACGUGAGUAACCUGCCCUUGACUUCGGGAUAACUUCAGGAAACUGGGGCUAAUACCGGAUAGGAAUCCUUGCUGCAUGGUGGGGGUUGGAAAGCUUCGGCGGUUUUGGAUGGACUCGCGGCUUAUCAGCUUGUUGGUGGGGUAGUGGCUUACCAAGGCUUUGACGGGUAGCCGGCCUGAGAGGGCGACCGGCCACAUUGGGACUGAGAUACGGCCCAGACUCCUACGGGAGGCAGCAGUGGGGAAUAUUGCACAAUGGGCGGAAGCCUGAUGCAGCAACGCCGCGUGCGGGAUGACGGCCUUCGGGUUGUAAACCGCUUUCAGCAGGGGCGAAGCUUGUGGUGACGGUACCUGCAGAAGAAGCACCGGCUAACUACGUG